GAUAAAACUAUAGAACCGCCUCUAAACAAAAAGAGGUUUUGGAACUGCUAAAAACCCCAUACGUGUCAUGUUGGUAUCAGCCGUCUAUCUCUUCUCUCUCUUCCUCGAUGCUUUUCUUUUCUUCUGAGAAAUCUCUCGUCUUGCUCUCCUUCUCCAAAUCCGUAGCAGCUAGAGAACCUCGACGAAAUCAGACUGGGACUCAGGUCGGAUCUCGAUAUCACACGACUCGUCGACGAUAUCGAACGAAUCGAUCUGCUGACGAACGAGACCUUUCUCUACUAAGUAGGCUGAUAUAACGGUCCAUGCGUCCUCCUGUGUAAUCUCCUCGUCGUGAACAAUGUAAGGCUGGUCCUGUUCGUACUCCAUCUUUGAUCUCCUCUCGUUGAAGAUUGAAGAACAGAGCAGAGAGGGAGAAAGAGAGAAAAGAGAGAGCGCGACUUUGUGGAGAUGAUCUCGAUCUCUCAUUCAAAUGGAUCUUUAGAAGAGAGGAUUUUCAGAACAACUAUUCAAGGAAGAUACUUGAUCUUCGAUGAUGAAGGCAAUGUGUGUGAUGCUCUGUCUUUGGAUUCUCGAACCCGUUGUUGCCCAUUGAAAGGAGAAAGAUUCUCUUGUCAGGACAUACAUGACUGUAUUUGAUUUUUGUGCCGGGAGAUGUCGCCAUAGUUCCGAGAGUGUGGUAAGCGAUUCACUCUUCAUAUUUUUUUUCUUUUGCAAGUUUCUUGGGGUUAUGUCAGUGAAGAAAAUUAGUGUGCAAGUGAGUUUUUUGUUUGAAACUGAUGGGAUGCUUAUGAAAGUGUAAUGAUUAUGACCUGAAACUUACAUGUUCAUGAAAAUGCAUACCACAUCAAGUUUCACCAUUGUUUUUCUCUGACUUCAAAUGCGCCAGGUUAACUUUUGUUAGCUUACUCUUUCGUUCAACUAUUGUUUAAACUUCAAAUGUUAAAAUACAUUUUACAUUCGUUAAAUAACUGAAUCAGGUGCUAAUCUUACACAAGUCGAAACAAGACUUCUUAGCAUUGAACCUAUUCUCAUCAAGGUUACCUCAUGAAACAAGAGACUGAGAGAUUGACGUUUCCUGUGUUCUUCCUCCACUUCGUCUUCAUCUUCAAUGAGAAUCUCUUUUCCUUUCUCACAGCGUCGUGCCGCCGCAGCCUCUGCUUCGUCCGGAGCAUUGUUCACGCUCUUUUUCACCGGAUCACAGAGACUUUGAUACAAAAGUACUUUCUCUCUCUCUCUCUUAAAAUUCUUAUCUGUCUUCCGAGAGAUUAGAGAGACAGAUGAUGGAAGUGGAGGUAAGGGAUGGUCAAACAAGAGUUAUGUCCGAUAAAUUCUCUGCGGCCACCAUAGAGAGACAAAGAUUUUAUAAGGUUUUAUGGUAAGGUUAAAACAAAUAUUCUCAUUCAUAAACGACGUAAUACUAAUUUGUUUUUAUAGUGAGUAUUUAUUCGGAUAUAUAUUUCAGCUGUAUAGUCAAUAUUUUCUUGGUAGUGAAUUGAGCAGAGGAUAUUACGUAAAAAGGGAAAGAAAUAACAUGCAGGGAUCUGAUUCUCCAGGUUCGCUGAUUAGUGAUUAUAUAUAUACAUUUGAUUGGUAUCUCGUUUGUCCAUUUGCAUUCAAUAAGAAAAGUCCUACUGAAUCCGUAUUGCCAUUAAUCAAUGCUUAAAAUCACGUUUAAGCGAACGGUCAUCA